rnacentral:rRNA from 1 species
GUAUGAAAGUACGUUUUCGACCCUCGGGUGGACAGGGAGACAGGUGUGCAUGGUUGUCGUCAGCUCGUGUCGUGAGAUGUUGGGUUAAGUCCCGCAACGAGCGCAACCCCUACGUUUAGUUGCUAACAGGUGAAGCUGAGCACUCUAGACGAACUGCCGUUGACAAAACGGAGGAAGUGGGGAUGACGUCAAGUCCUCAUGGCCCUUAUAGGUGGGGCUACACACGUCAUACAAUGGCCGGUACAGAGGGUAGCCAACCCGCGAGGGGGAGCCAAUCCCACAAAGCCGGUCGUAGUCCGGAUCGCAGUCUGCAACUCGACUGCGUGAAGUCGGAAUCGCUAGUAAUCGCGGAUCAGCAUGUCGCGGUGAAUACGUUCCCGGGUCUU